rnacentral:rRNA from 1 species
UGCAAGUCGAACGAAAUCUCCGGAUUUAGUGGCGCACGGGUGAGUAACAUGUGGGAAUCUACCUGAAGGUUCGGAAUAACUGCGGGAAACUGUAGCUAAUACCGGAUGUGUCUGCAAAGAGAAAGAUUUAUCGCCUUCAGAUGAGCCCGCACUAGAUUAGCUAGUUGGUGAGGUAACUGCUCCACCAAGGCUACGAUCUAUAGCUGAUUUGAGAGGAUGAUCAGCCACACUGGGACUGAGACACGGCCCAGACUCCUACGGGAGGCAGCAGUAGGGAAUAUUGGACAAUGGGGGAAACCCUGAUCCAGCAAUGCCGCGUGAGUGAAGAAGGCCCUCGGGUUGUAAAACUCUUUCAUCAAUGAUGAUAAUGACAUUAGUUGAAGAAGAAGCUCCGGCUAACUUCGUGCCAGCAGCCGCGGUAAUACGAAGGGGGCUAGCGUUGUUCGGAAUCACUGGGCGUAAAGCGUAUGUAGGCGGAUCAAAAAGUUAGAUGUGAAAUCCCUGGGCUCAACCCAGGAACUGCAUUUAAAACUAGUGAUCUAGAAUCUGGUAAGGGUUAGUAGAAUUUCCAGUGUAGAGGUGAAAUUCGUAGAUAUUGGAAAGAACACCAGAAGCGAAGGCGACUAACUAGGCCAUUUUUGACGCUGAGAUACGAAAGCGUGGGUAGCAAACAGGAUUAGAUACCCUGGUAGUCCACGCAGUAAACGAUGAGUGCUAGUCGCUGGUGCAAUAGUAUCAGUGUCGUAGCUAACGCAUUAAGCACUCCGCCUGGGAAGUACGGUCGCAAGAUUAAA